rnacentral:sRNA from 1 species
CUGGAUGUAAUAAAGGUAGUGUACUAGCCUGGAUGUAAUAAAGGUAGUGUACUAGCCUGGAUGUAAUAAAGGUAGUGUACUAGCCUGGAUGUAAUAAAGGUAGUGUACUAGCCUGGAUGUAAUAAAGGUAGUGUACUAGCCUGGAUGUAAUAAAGGUAGUGUACUAGACUGAAUGUAAUAAAGGUAGUGUACUAGACU